AGCUGAUUAGAAAGGGAAUUUAUCACCCUGCCUGAAAGAGUAAACCAAACAGAGGAGCUGUCAGUCACAGUGGUGUCCAGCACCACCUUGGCAGCCAACAUCUGCAGCCCUGGCUGGGUGUUCACCUCAGAAGAGGAAGAGCAAAUGGAAGGCUUCUAGAAAAGCUCUGUGUUCUGCUGAGUCUGAGUCUGAAGGGAAACUUCUCACACAGACUUGGAGUAUCUAGGGCCCUGUAGGUUCCAGAGCAGGGUAGCUGGCAAAGAGGGCCACAUUAGGUGUCUAAUACUGGUCCCUGUCACCAGGGGGAUCACACCUCCCUGCUCCAUGGGUGGCUGGUGUUGUUGUCAUCGUGUGGCUUGCAGUGACCAGGGAGAUGGAAGCUGAAGCGUCACCAUCUCGCUUUCCUCCUCACUGGAGCAUAACUCUUGACACCCACACCUCAGAGGAAGAGAGGUCCAUGAGGGCCACAGAUGGCUGGCUCCACUGCAGGACACACUGGCACAGGGGCACGGCAGGGGAGAGAGGUUCAUCUUACAGCAUCUAUUAGCAGAGAACAAGGGGAGGAGCCAGCCAGGAAGGGAGACAAACCAGACCAAGACCAGUUGCCCCGCCUGCAAUCCCGGGAAGGUUCGGGGGCAUCCACAUGGAACCCUCUGCAGUCACUCCCAAGCAGAACCUCUGGGGGACAGUGUAUACUUCCCACGCUCCUUUUCUCUGUGCCCUGGGAGCUAUGUUGAGCACAACAGAAGAAACUCUAUGAACCUAUCUCCUGGAUGAAGGCACAGUGUCUCGGAACAGCAGCUGAGUAAUGAAGGACACCUAAUGGUUCAUGUGGCAGGAGCUUGGUCCCCAGGAUGCUGUUAUGGGAGAGGUGUGAACUCCUAGGAGGUGGUGCCACAUGGGAAGACCUUGGGUCACUGAGCAUGCUGUCCUCAGAGGGGUGAAGGAACUUCUCACUCCUGUUACCAACUUAACUGCUUCUUGGACUCCUCUAUCAUCUAUGACCUCGAAAUUGAAGUGCUGACUUAUUUAUGACAAUCAAAGAUAAGCAAAACAGUGUGGCACAUAAAGCACAGCCAAUCUCUAAAACAAAUAAAUGUCCAGGAAAUCUCAGCCACCCCAGGAGAAGAAGAUGCACCUUCUAAACUGAAGAUCAUCAAGUCUUUUCUUUAAAAGAUUCCUCUGAUUGAGUCAAGGAAGACAUGGGGAAUGCUCAUUCAGGUAAGAAAGUGAUGGAAGACACUUUCCUACA